ACUCUAUUAGGAUCCUUCUUGAAUCAGCAAUUCAUUAAAUUUAUUAAAUUGGUUGCUAAAGCUAGUUUAGAUGCUCAUCUACGUAUUGGUCCUCAUGUUUGUGCUAAAUGGAACUAUUGGUAAAGCUUAUAAAAUUUUGUUCCAAUCUAUUGUAGAGUAUACAAACCAACAAUUUAUCAGUGAACUUUGCCUUAUAGACUUUGUUUUUGAACAGUGGGUUUCCUCUUUGGUUGCAUUUCAUACCUGGAAUUCAGUUUCGAACUGAUAAUGAGUCAUUCAAGGUGGAAAUUGUGGACAUGAUGAAGCAAGAAAACUCUAUGCAUCCCAAGGUGGACCCAUUAUCUGAUCCGAGGUGAUUAUGUUGCCCAUAUAAAAUUCACUGUUCUGCUAAUGCCAAAUGGGUCAGACUGCAUUAUGUCUCAUCCUCUACAGGAGCUCUAGCCUACUAAAACAAUAGAUGACCCUGAAAUUAAAGCCUGGUUAGCUUUGGGCACAAAAACAAAGAAAGGUGGAGGGAAGAAGAAGAAAGGCAUGCUAGCAUUAUAUCCCGGAAAGACUGAUCAUAAAACUUUGGAACAACUCAUUUAAGCAUGCAAAUCGAAUUGUACUAUGCACUUAUAGGCCCAUCCUAAUCGUUCGUGUUUGCAGGUAAGAAGGGUAACAAGGUUGAGGCAUCACAGAAGCCAAGCCUAUGGAUGCUACAACAAAUGAAGCUACUGCCUCAAGAAUAAGAAAAUUUAAAUUUUGAUUUGAAUUUUCUUUUUUCUUAAUUUAAUUUUGGCUGCAAUUUUGUAUUUGUUUGGUUGCUGACUACAUUCCGGUGGUCAUUAGAUGUUGAAUCCUAAUUGGAUUUUCCUCA